rnacentral:lncRNA from 1 species
GGCUCGCCAACGGGUUGGGAAAUGGAGAGGGACGAUGGAGAAAGACAGCAGAGAUCCUUGGUCCCAGAAUGGAGCCAGUGCUUCCCACGGUGUGAGAGAACAAUGUGGUGAGAUUUUCAAGAACUUCAUUCAGCCUCAUUGUGGGUAAAGGGAAAGACUUAGACGUUGUUGUUCUGAGGAAUUUGUUCUUGGUCAGAGUUGGGAAGGUUGACUGCAGUGCCACAGAGUGUUAGUCAGAUGACCAAGGCUUGCCCUUGACAGGGGAGGGAGCCGGGGAGUUGACAGUGGGUUUUCGGUACACAGAAACAGGGCACGCACAACAUGACCAAUCUGCAUGUGGCUCCUUCGGGUUUCCCUAGAGCUGGGACAAAAUAUCCUGUUGGACCUUGUCCUUAACUCCCCUUCACCUCCACCUCAGUACAGGGUAUUGUAGGAAACUCCCCAUGAGGAACAAACUGUGGUCCUGCCUCCACUAGUUCAGUGGGCACACAGCAUGCCUAUGGUCUACUACAGUACCGCAUUUAGGAAUGGCAAGAGCAAUAUGGAGGGAGAUGAUGUGUGACCCUGGACACCAGGAAGCCUUGGGGGAGGAGGAGGUGUCCCCAUGGUUCUUGAAGUCUCAGUAGGAGUGUGCCAGGAGAGAGGAGAGGAACAGGAUGAUCUAGGGAGGAAGAAGAAUGGUUAAAAUGGCCUGUUUAGAAAGAGGCAGAAGGCCUUAAUGGGUUCCUCAUGGGAAGUGUGAGGACCACGGGCCAUGGCAUAGACCCAUGAGCUUUUAUUCUUGACUUGAUCCUGCCAGUCCUGGGGCCUUCUCUGACCCACUGUGUCAGGUGGGUGCCCUUAUUUGUGGCCCCAGAGUUUACUCCCCUCCCUCCUCAUCACAGUACUUUUCACUCUGUGGCACAAUGUCAUGUGUGUUCUCCCUAGGGCACACUGAGCUCCUGAGGAUCUUGUUCACUGUUAUAAUCCCAGCCCCGACACCAUGCCCAGAGCAUAAUAGCUAUGCAAGAAAUACUGGGUGCAAAGUCAAUGGAGUUUUUAAUAAUUUCAUUAUAAUGAAUUGAAGACUUGUAGCAGGUGACAGAGAGCUUGGAGCUGGGCUGUGGAGAGCUUGGACCUUGAGUCUGAGGGUACACCAGAGUAGGGGAGCCAGGAAGCAGAGAUCCAUUGGCAUUGGCCCGCAGUGGGGGGCUGUGGUCUGUGGGAAAGAGAAGGGGCUUCUAAAGACCAGGAUCACAGAGCCUGGGGUAGCAGUAAUAGCAUCAUAGAUAGGGACACCUGUGGGCAGAGUGCUUUGGAGAUGAUGGUGACCAGAGGAUCCCAGAGAAGAAAGGGAGGGAGGUCCACGUGGGAUGUGCUGUGGUCUAGGGUGCCCUGCCUCCCAGCACAGUCUGUACCAGGCAGGUAGAAAUUCCACACGGACAACAAGAGAAAGCCAAGGUCCGAGCUGAGAGGCCACCUGUUGUGGGGAGACGGAGCAUCAGGCUCUGGAUGUGAAGUGCCCUUUGCCAUGGUCUCCACCUUCUCAAGCUAUUUUAGUUGAGAUCACUUUGGACUCCCAGUGGGGUCAGUUCAUUUUCCUCUGACCUUGUUUGGAUCUUAAAGCCCCAUAAAUUGGGGUCCUCUCUAGGCAUGUGAAGGGUAACCCAGCUCCAGCAGCACAUUGAGAAAUAGCUUGGCUGGCUGGAGCCUUGAACUUUGUGUCACAUUGUGAAAAAUGCUCUUGGACAAUGAACAGCCUCCCUCCCCUCCCUCCGCAAGCUCCUGUGUUAGCUCUUUUGCAAUAACGCCCACUGUCGGCCGCAAGAGUGUCUAAGCAGGUGCUCUCCACCCACAAUUUGGAGCCACUCAGGGCAUUUAUGGGGAAUGGAACAGAAGGUUUGGUCCUCAUAGCCCGGGGGCAAGAAAAUCGA